UGCCGGCGGCACGGGUGAGUAACGCGUAUCCAACCUGCCCUUUACUAUGGGACAGCCCGUCGAAAGGCGGAUUAAUACCGUAUGUUGUCAUGUUGAUGCAUAUUUUCAUGACCAAAGGCUUCGGCCGGUAAAGGAUGGGGAUGCGUCUGAUUAGCUUGCCGGCGGGGUAACGGCCCACCGGGGCGACGAUCAGUAGGGGUUCUGAGAGGAAGGUCCCCCACAUUGGAACUGAGACACGGUCCAAACUCCUACGGAAGGCAGCAG
rnacentral:rRNA from 1 species